rnacentral:lncRNA from 1 species
AGAAAGGAAGGUGGGAAAUCAGAUGAAUCCUAGAUUUAUAUAUGAGAAUGACCUCCUUCAGAGUAGUAAAAGAUGGGCUCCCGUGAGUAAUAAAAGAGCUGUGCAUUGCUUUUGUGAUGCUCAUAUGAUGUCACUGCUGGUUGGAGGUUGCUUCUAUUUGGAUACGAUUUUCUUGUCAUUGUUUUAUGAAUGAGAGAAAAACAAAUGUACAGUACUACUUAUCAUCGUUACACCUUCUACUCUUGAUGAGAAAACUGUUCCUGCCCUUUGGACUUUUUUUGUGCAGGUUUGUUCACCAAAGGUCAGAGACCUGAGCAGAGAAGUCAGGAGAAAGAGAUGAGCCCCUCCACAGCUCACACAGACUGUGUGGGUCUGACCCCUCUAUUUCCCGUCCCUUUGGGAAGGAUGGCUGAGCAGCACUGCGACAUACACUUCAAUGUUAUUUUUCUUAGGUACUGGGAAUGGAACCUGGGACUUGACACAUAUGAGAUUCCAAUACUUGGUUACUAUUCCUGUGAUUAAAUACGAUGCUGUGGGUGUAGCUCAGUGUGGAACAUUCGCCAACAUGUACAAGGCUCUGGGGUUUGAGAAGAAAGGAAAAAGGGAGCAAGAAAUUCAAGCUGAGAUGUAGGUGAGUUGGUGGUACUCUGUUGGCCAGAAGGCUAAGUGCCCUGACUGGAGCUUGCAGAGAGAGGCCUCAACCAAAUCUGUCCACGCCACUCAUCUGCCUUGUUUCAGCUACAGGCUGACCCCUGUAGUGGGGGAUGCAGUGGAGGAAGAUGGGUCUGACUGUUAUCAGAAUGUGGUGAAGACGGGGUAGUAGUGUACCCCAAUUGGGUAGAGAAGGACAAACUUAUCAAAACACAAGAAAAACACUGACGUGCUAAGAAGAGAUGCCACUGGAUUUAAAAUGAAGCGUCACAGAAAGUCUUGUGUGCAGGAACAGUGUCAUUGAAGGACUAGCAGAAGAUCUAACUGCAAGCUAGACAGUGGUGAACAGGACUCCAGAGGGAUAACCAAAGGUAAAUGAAACAUUGGCCUCACACUGAAGCAUAAACCAGGCCA